UACUGUGAGACGAAGCGUCACAUGCUAAUCCAUUCACUCACACUCUAUGCUCCCUAUAUCCAAAAAUACUCACCGCCAGAGCACCUACUGCACCGAGCCUUAUCACUGAUGGCGGCAGAGAGCUAACAACCACAAACUCUACAUGACCGAACUCGCCUUGACCUCCUCAGUCCAAAUUUUCUAUCGAUUUAUCAUGAUUCCUACUCGAACACGCAAACUGAACCAAGUCUCUCACGAACCCUAGGUAGAAGAUUCGUAAAUUAAAUCCUCCUAGGGAGGUAAUUGAAUCUACAAGCUUAGGACUAUCACUCACCUAAUCAAGGCCUAUACAAUGGUAACAAACGCGGAAGCACAAAGAUGAUGACACUUGGAUGUUGCUCCGAUACGAAAUAAUUACUUUUAUGCUCUUCUAUUCUUCUUCUACUCCAAUCUUCUUCAUCGUUGUUGUGCGCUCUGAGUCGCGAUUCUUACGUGUUCUGAGUUGUAGUUAUUGAAGGUGUGUUGUGGUUGAUGGAUUGCGAAGAUUCACUGAAUCAAAGUGCGCCGUGGAUUGAGGACUGGAUUGAUGUUUGAAGUAACCAAUGAGCUCACUGGAGCAUAUGAUCGAAGAAACAGUGACGUUAACGGAGGUUACUUUCAGGGUUCAAUAUGGUUUCUACCAUGGACAUGGCGCUUGGACAAUGCUUCAAAUGGAUUUACGUUCUUGAGGUCGGCUUGUAUUGAUUGUAAUUUUGUUGUAAAAAUGAAUAUGAGGUUGAAUGUAAUGUUGUAUUGUUUAAAUGAUUGAAAUUUGAAGUUAGAAUGGUAAUGGUUUAAAUUGGAAUUGAAAUUGAAAAUGGUUGUGUAAUGUAAUGGUUCUUUUUUUGGAAAUAA